rnacentral:rRNA from 1 species
UACGUAGGGUGCAAGCGUUGUCCGGAAUUAUUGGGCGUAAAGAGCUCGUAGGCGGUCUGUCGCGUCUGCUGUGAAAACUCAGGGCUUAACCCUGAGCUUGCAGUGGGUACGGGCAGACUAGAGUGCGGUAGGGGGAGACUGGAAUUCCUGGUGUAGCGGUGAAAUGCGCAGAUAUCAGGAGGAACACCGGUGGCGAAGGCGGUUCUCUGGGCAUGUCCUGACGCUGAGGAGCGAAAGUGUGGGGAGCGAACAGG